GGGGGUAUAUCUCAGUCGUAGAGUGUCUGCUUAGCAUGCAUGAAGUCCUGGGUUCAAUCCCCAGUAACUCCA
rnacentral:tRNA from 1 species